CCUUAAUUAGCUUAGAUAAAGCUUUAAACUCUUAAUUUAAAAGAGGGUAGUUAAAUCCUACCAUUGAGGA
rnacentral:tRNA from 1 species